rnacentral:rRNA from 1 species
UGUAGUGGUGAAAUGCGUAGAUAUCGGAAGGAACACCAGUGGCGAAGGCGGCCCCCUUGGCUGCUCCUGACGCUGAAGGGGAAAGCUAGGGUAGCGAACGGGAUUAGAAACCCCGGUAGUCCUAGCCGUAAACGAUGGAUACUAGGUGUAGGAGGUUAAAAUUCCUUCUGUGCCGGAGCUAACGCGUUAAGUAUCCCGCCUGGGGAGUACGGUCGCAAGGCUAAAACUCAAAGGAAUUGACGGGGGCCGGCACAAGCAGCGGAGCGUGUGGUUUAAUUAGAUGCAACGCGAAGAACCUUACCAGGGCUUGACAUGUAGGUAGUAGUGAAGCGAAAGCAGAACGAUCCUUCGGGAAGGCUACACAGGUGCUGCAUGACUGUCGUCAGCUCGUGCCGUGAGGAGUUAGGUUAAGUCCUGUAACGAGCGCAACCCCUGCCGUUAGUUACAAGAGUCUAACAGGACUACCCGCCAAAACUAGCAGGAAGGUGGGGAGGACGUCAAGUCAUCAUGGCCUUUAUUUCCUGGGCGACACACACCCCUACAAUAGAUCGGUACAAUAGAGUGGCCACCCUCG